AAAGUACUCACUCCGUCUCAAAAUUCUUGUCUUAGAUUUGUCUAAAUACGGAUGUAUCAAGUCACAUUUUUGUAUUAGAUACAUCCGUAUCUAGACAAAUCUAAGAAAACAAAUUUGGGACAGAGGGAGUAGUUG
rnacentral:pre_miRNA from 1 species